rnacentral:rRNA from 1 species
AGAGUUUGAUCCUGGCUCAGGAUGAACGCUAGCGGCAGGCUUAACACAUGCAAGUCGAGGGGUAGAGGUUGCUUGCAACCUUGAGACCGGCGCACGGGUGCGUAACGCGUAUGCAACCUACCUUUUACAGAGGGAUAGCCCAGAGAAAUUUGGAUUAAUACCUCAUAGUAUAUAUCUUUCGCAUGUUAGGUAUAUUAAAGUUCCAACGGUAAAAGAUGGGCAUGCGUCCUAUUAGCUAGAUGGUAAGGUAACGGCUUACCAUGGCUACGAUAGGUAGGGGUCCUGAGAGGGAGAUCCCCCACACUGGUACUGAGACACGGACCAGACUCCUACGGGAGGCAGCAGUGAGGAAUAUUGGACAAUGGGCGCAAGCCUGAUCCAGCCAUGCCGCGUGCAGGAAGAAGCAUCUAUGGUGUGUAAACUGCUUUUGUACAGGAAGAAACAUCCCGACGUGUCGGGACUUGACGGUACUGUAAGAAUAAGGAUCGGCUAACUCCGUGCCAGCAGCCGCGGUAAUACGGAGGAUCCAAGCGUUAUCCGGAAUCAUUGGGUUUAAAGGGUCCGUAGGCGGUUUGGUAAGUCAGUGGUGAAAGCCCGCAGCUCAACUGUGGAACGGCCAUUGAUACUGCCAGACUUGAGUACGGAAGAGGUAUGUGGAACUCCGAGUGUAGAGGUGAAAUUCGUAGAUAUUCGGAAGAACACCAGUGGCGAAGGCGACAUACUGGUCCGUUACUGACGCUGAGGCUCGAAAGCGUGGGGAGCAAACAGGAUUAGAUACCCUGGUAGUCC